UCUAAAUUUGAAACUUUGAAAAAAUAUGUUUAAAGCCCCAUAAACUCUAAUAAAAGUGGCUGUCGAAGCUUCACAAUUAAAAUUUUUACAAGCUGCUCGUGUCUGUCAACUGAAACAGAACAAGGCCCUUUAAAACCCCGAAUUCCACACUCAAUC